AUGGAAAAAUGGAAUCGUGAUGAUUUCCCUCUGGCAAAUAUGGAGUUAAUUGGCUUUAGGUUGGGUGUAACUGAGCUAUGUGCAUGUUUUGUGCAGAUUCAGCGCUUAUGCAUUAAAGAUUCUGCUGCGCUUGUUCACCGGCCAGAGAAAGAGUUCCGAAGCUUGGUAUCUUUGAGGAGUCUAAAGAUUAUAUCCUGCGAACAACUGGUUGGAUAUGCACAAGCUCCUGUAGCUGAGCCAUCAACAGCAUCAGAAUCCUCGAGUGAGCUCCUGCCUCGUCUCGAGUAUCUCAAUAUAUAUGGUUGUAAAAGCAUGGUUGAGAUCUUCAAAGUCCCUGCAUCCCUGAGGAAAAUGAGAAUUACUUGUUGCAGCAAGCUCAAGUUCAUAUUCAGCAGUAGGCCGCAGCAGGAGAGUCAGUGCCAUUGA
rnacentral:rRNA from 1 species